rnacentral:rRNA from 1 species
UACGUAGGGCGCAAGCGUUAUCCGGAAUUAUUGGGCGUAAAGAGCUCGUAGGCGGUUUGUCGCGUCUGCCGUGAAAGUCAAAGGCUCAACCUUUGAAUGCCGCUGGAUACUGCUUGACUUGAGUCCGGAAGGGGCGAGUGGAAUUCCUGGUGUAGCGGUGAAAUGCGCAGAUAUCAGGAGGAACACCAAUGGCGAAGGCAGCUCGCUGGAACGGUACUGACGCUGAGGCGCGAAAGCGUGGGGAGCAAACAGG